rnacentral:rRNA from 1 species
GAUGAACGCUGGCGGCGUGCCUAAUACAUGCAAGUCGAGCGGACAGACGAGGAGCUUGCUCCUCUGACGUUAGCCGCGGACGUGAGUGUAACGCGUGGAUAACCUACCUAUAAGACGGGGAUAACUUCGGGAAUCCGGAUCGAAUACGGGAUAAGAUGUUGAACCGCAUGGUUAAACAGUAAAAGACGGUUUUUCUGGAACUGAUAGAUGGAUACGCGGCGUAUGAGCUAGUUGGUAAGGUAACGGCUUACCAAGGCAAGGAUGCGUAGCGGAACUGAGAGGGUGAUCGGCCACACUGGAGCUGAGACACGGACCAGACUCCUACGAGAGGGAGCAGUAGCGAACAUUCCGAACUGGGCGAAAGCCUGACGGAGAAACGCCACGCGGGAGACGAAGGUCUUCAGUUCGUAAAACUGUCUUAUUAGGGCAGAACAAAUGUGUCCGUAGCUAUGCCAAUCUUGACGGUACCCAAUCAAAAAGCCAAGGCUAACUACGUG